UCCCUGAUAGCUCAGAUGGUAAAGAAUCUGCCUGCAAUGCAGGAGACCCAGGUUUGAUCCCUGGGUGAGGAA
rnacentral:tRNA from 1 species